ensembl:lncRNA
AAAUCCCCCAUUUAAGCGAAAAUCACGCGUUUUCUCUUCGAGAAUCCCCCAUUUAAGUGAAAAUAACGUUUCCUCUAUGCAAAUUUCCCAUUUAAGUGAAAAUCACGCGUUUUCUCUUCGGAAAUCCCCCAUUUAAGCGAAAAUCACGCGUUUUCUCUUCGAGAAUCCCCCAUUUAAGCGAAAAUCACGCGUUUCCUUCAAAUCCCCAUUUAACCAAAAUUCACGCGUUUUCUCUUCGCAAAUCCCCCAUUUAAGCGAAAAUCACGCGUUUUCUCUUCGAGAAUCCCCCAUUUAACCGAAAAUCACGCGUUUUCUCUUCGAGAAUCCCCCAUUUAAGCGAAAAUCACGCGUUUUCUCUUUCGAAAUCCCCCAUGUAACCGAAAAUGACGUGUUUUCUCUUCAAGAAUCCCCCAUUUAACCCAAAAAUCACGCGUUUUCUCUUCGGAAAUCCCCCAUUUAAGUGAAAAUCACGUGUUUUCUCUUUGCAAAUCCCCCAUUUAAGCGAAAAUCACGCGUUUUCUCUUCGCAAAUCCCCCAUUUAAGCGAAAAUCAUGCGUUUUCAUCUUCGAGAAUCCCCCAUUUAAGCGAAAAUCACGCGUUUUCUUUUCGAGAAUCCCCCAUUUAAGUGAAAAUCACGCGUUUUCUCUUCAAGAAUCCCCCAUUUAACCCGAAAAUCACGUGUUUUCUCUUCGAGAAUCCCCAAUUUAAGCGAAAAUCACGCAUUUUCUCUUCGGAAAUCCCCCAUUUAAGCGAAAAUCACGCGUUUUCUCUUCAAGAAUCCCCCAUUUAACCAAAAAUCACGCGUUUUCUCUUCGAGAAUCCCCCAUUUAAGUGAAAAUCACACGUUUUCUCUUCGAAAUCCCCCAUUUAAGCGAAAAUCAUGCGUUUUCUCUUCGAGAAUCCCCCAUUUAAGCGAAAAUCACGCGUUUUCUCUUCGGAAUCCCCCAUUUAAGCGAAAAUCACGCGUUUUCUCUUCGAGAAUCCCCCAUUUAACCCGAAAAUCACGCGUUUCCUCUUAAAUAAUCCCCCAUUUAAGCCACAAAUCACGCGUUUUCUCUUCGAGAAUCCCCCAUUUAAGCAAAAAUCACGCGUUUUCUCUUCGAGAAUCCCCCAUUUAAGUGAAA